GUCGAACGCUGGCGGCGUGCUUAACACAUGCAAGUCGAACGGUAAGGCCCUUCGGGGUACACGAGUGGCGAACGGGUGAGUAACACGUGGGUGAUCUGCCCUGCACUUCGGGAUAAGCCUGGGAAACUGGGUCUAAUACCGGAUAGGACCACUGCCUGCAUGGGUGGUGGUGGAAAGCUUUUGCGGUGUGGGAUGGGCCCGCGGCCUAUGAGCUUGUUGGUGGGGUGAUGGCCUACCAAGGCGACGACGGGUAGCCGGCCUGAGAGGGUGACCGGCCACACUGGGACUGAGAUACGGCCCAGACUCCUACGGGAGGCAGCAGUGGGGAAUAUUGCACAAUGGGCGCAAGCCUGAUGCAGCGACGCCGCGUGAGGGAUGACGGCCUUCGGGUUGUAAACCUCUUUCAGCACCGACGAGGCGCAAGUGACGGUAGGUGCAGAAGAAGGACCGGCCAACUACGUGCCAGCCGCCGCGGUAA
rnacentral:rRNA from 1 species